rnacentral:rRNA from 1 species
UGAAGGUGCAGUAACAUGCACUGGAGGGCCGAACCGUUGAGCGUUGAAAAGCUCUCGGAUGACCUGUGUCUAGGGGUGAAAGGCCAAUCAAACUUGCUGAUAGCUGGUUCUCCGCGAAAUCUAUUUAGGUAGAGCGUCACGAUUAGACUCUGGGGGGUAGAGCACUGAAUGGGCUAGGGGUCCUCACCGGAUUACCAAACCUUCUCAAACUCCGAAUACCCAGAAGUUAUGCGUGGCAGACACACGGCGGGUGCUAACGUCCGUCGUGAAAAGGGAAACAAC